rnacentral:lncRNA from 1 species
AGGUAUAGGGAACGAACUGGGGGCAGACGGAAGGCACGGGAAUCAGGCAGGGAAAGGCCUCCUGCGGCAGGCACCGACUUGGAAGAAGCGAGGAGGCCGAGAUCACAAAAAGAGAUAAAGAUUAAGUAACUUGCCUAAAAUUACAUGCCCAUUAAGUACAUGAGGCUGGAUUUGAACUUCCUUCUUCCUGAUUCCAGAUCCAGGACUCAAGUGGUACUUUCUGUCAUGAUUUCAUUCAAGAUUUGCCACAAGAAAAGAAUAUUUUUCAGGACAAUGAAUUAGCAUGAAGAAAAAUUCCUCAGAAAAAUUCUUAAAACAAGGCUUGAAGUUGGUUUCAGAAGAAGCAUAAGGAGAUAAUAAGGAAAGAGAAAUGGGACUUAAUGAAAUUUAUCUGCUUAUAUUCCUCCAUGGGAGGAUGAUACUUGUAAUUUAUAAGAACUUUUGCAUUAUUAUGGCCGUUAGAAGGAGUAUAUAUAAACAGAGGAGCCCAGCUGGUACUAGAAAAACACACAAUUGGAAGCGAUGGGAAGUUUUCUUGAAUAAUGGAAAGGACUGAAAAAAAGAGAAUUUAAAAUGCCAAUUUGAGGACUGUCUUCUAUGAGGAUGAAAGUAAUCAAUAUCAGCUAAGAAACAAAUGACAACACCAGAAAGCUUGAUUAUUCACCAAUUUGGCUAAUCUACUGGGAGAAAUCUUGACUACAUUGGUAGAAGACUAAGUGAAAGCAUCCUAGGUAGAACUAUCCUUGUCACUUGUCAGCACAUUUUAAUGAAAUGCCAGUCUUUUCUACCAAAUCCUGAAGAAAAACCUCUGGGUACCGAUUGAUGAAAUGAUUUUCCUCCCAAAUGGAGCCUAAACUUAAAAUAAAGCACCUCCCAUUUUGCAAAGCACAGCAGUCUGCAAGUUCAAGAGAGGGCAGAAAAGUGAUUCUCAGCCUACUCCACUUUGGAUAUGCUUCUUUGCUUGGUUUCAACUCCACAGAACAAGAUGACUGUGUAUUAAGUAAUCCCUGCUGGCUCCCCAUCCCUGAUUUCCCGCUUCCUUUUUUGGGUUGUCUCCACCCUUAGAGUUGUAAGUCUUUGAGGGCAGGGGUUGUCUUUCUUUUUAUUAAUUGUAUUACCAGCACAUAGUAGAUGCUUAAUAAAAUUGUAUUAUGUAUAUAAAAGAGGUGGAUUAGUUCUUUUUGUGGUGG